UAAGGCUUUAAGUUAAAUAAACUA
rnacentral:tRNA from 1 species